rnacentral:rRNA from 1 species
UACGUAGGGCGCAAGCGUUGUCCGGAAUUAUUGGGCGUAAAGAGCUCGUAGGUGGUUUGUCGCGUCUGCCGUGAAAGCCCGGGGCUUAACUCGGAAAGGUCAACUGAUACUGUGCGACUAGAGUGCGGAAGGGGCAACUGGAAUUCUCGGUGUAGCGGUGAGAUGCGUAGAUAUCGAGAGGAACACCUGCGGCGAAGGCGGGUUGCUGGGCCGACACUGACGCUGAUGCGCGAAAGCCAGGGGAGCGAACGGG